CUGUCCUCCAUGCACCUAAUAAUCCAGCCUCAAUUUUUGGCAAUUCCAACUUCUAAAAUCUCUUAACGCCAGCAACCCCUCUUUUUGCUUACUUAUCACCACCCACCCCAGGACUCCCAUGACAGCCUUCCUGUGAUGCAUGACAGGCACAUGACAAGGGCAGUUGAGGGUCAGGGGCCACAGGAGCAGGAUGCAGCCAGCACAUGAGGGAGGAUAGGCGGGAGGACAGGCAGACACUCGUGCGUAAGAGCACGCACUUGUCAGGCUGCCUGGGUCCAAGUCCUAGCUCCACCACUGAGGGGCUGUGUGUCUCUGGGCAAGUCACUGGGCCUCUCUGUGCCUUAGUUCCUGCCUCUAGAGAACGGAGAUGAGAAGAACACAUCAUCUCAUAAUUAAUUAUUGCAUAAGUACUAAUUUUAAUUAUAUUGACUAUUAUACUCUAUUAGUGUAUGAUGUCUUUUAUUAUAUAUAUUUAUCAUAUAAUAUACUAAUUAUAUUAAUGAGUAUACUAUAGUAUUUUAUAUAACAUACCUUAAUUGCUUAUUAUGUAUCUGUAUAAUUAUUUUAUUAUCAUAUAAGAUAAUUUCAUAAGCUAAGAUGGUAUUUUAUAUGUUUCAUUUAUUAUAUAUUUGUAUUAUAUAUACUUUAUUGUAUUUGAAUUGUGAUGUCUAAUAAAAUAAUAGAUAUGUUAAUUAUCCUUCAUAUUCAUAAUAAGCUCCUUCAUUGGUGUCUGGGAAGCCGAGAACGUUUGUGCGUGUGAGCUCUCCUGUGUGUUCGGCAUGCAGUGUGUCGCGUCUCAGCUGACGUGAUUGCUGUUUUUGGUGGCCCAGAGGCACAGGGUGCAGGAUGCAGGGUGCAUGCUACAGGCAGGAAGAGCUUUGGAGCAGGCUGACUCCUGAGCUCUCCUCUGGUGCCGUGGCUUCUGAGGCCCCCAGGUGACAACCAGCAUUUGCCAUCCUAGUGUUUCCUCUAUGUUCAUCCCGCGUUCUGAGUGUGGCACAGGCCACACUCCUGACCCCACCAGCAUCAGGUGCUGUGCACAUGGUAUGAGGUCGGGAUGGAAUGCUGUUGGCAUGGGGGUUGUUCCCCCUCACCUGACACCAACUGGGCUGAGGUUCCCAGGAGAAACACUUAGCAUCAUGACUUCGGAGGUUGCCAUCAUUUUUGAUGACUUUUUCUUUUUCCUUCUUUUCUGUUUCCCUCUUGUCAAGUUUCUACCUGUAAGUAAGUUAUACUUACUUAUUCUGUGUUUCUUUACAGUCUCAGGGGAAAUUCCGUUGAGCUGAAAAUUUCCUCAGCUCCUCGCUCCAGUUUCUCAGAAGAGUCUCUCUCCUUGCAGAAAAGACUGUGGGUGGGAGUCACCAAUUUAGCAUAUUUCUACUAAAAAUAUGACUCCAUCCCAAGAAAUUGGUUUUAAAGAUUUGAGGAAAAACUGCUUUUAGAUUUCAGAGAAAGAAAAAGAGUGUGUUUCUACUUCCCCCUUUUAAAUCUGAUAACUUUUAU
rnacentral:lncRNA from 1 species